GACGAACGCUGGCGGCGUGCCUAAUACAUGCAAGUAGAACGCUGAAGGAGGAGCUUGCUUCUCCGGAUGAGUUGCGAACGGGUGAGUAACGCGUAGGUAACCUGCCUGGUAGCGGGGGAUAACUAUUGGAAACGAUAGCUAAUACCGCAUAACAGUAGAUAUUGCAUGAUAUCUGCUUGAAAGGUGCAAAUGCAUCACUACCAGAUGGACCUGCGUUGUAUUAGCUAGUUGGUGGGGUAACGGCUCACCAAGGCGACGAUACAUAGCCGACCUGAGAGGGUGAUCGGCCACACUGGGACUGAGACACGGCCCAGACUCCUACGGGAGGCAGCAGUAGGGAAUCUUCGGCAAUGGACGGAAGUCUGACCGAGCAACGCCGCGUGAGUGAAGAAGGUUUUCGGAUCGUAAAGCUCUGUUGUAAGAGAAGAACGAGUGUGAGAGUGGAAAGUUCACACUGUGACGGUAUCUUACCAGA
rnacentral:rRNA from 1 species